AGCUUUUAUCAUGUAAGUCGCUCUGGAUAAGAGCGUCUGCUAAAUGACGUAAA
rfam:Salmo salar isolate Sally breed double haploid chromosome ssa09, whole genome shotgun sequence.